UUUCCGGUUGAUCCCGCCGGACCUGACUGCUAUCGGAUUGAUACUAAGCCAUGCGAGUCGUUGUAGCAAUACAAGGCAUACGGCUCAGUAACGCGUAGUCAACCUAACCUAUGGACGGGAAUAACCUCGGGAAACUGAGAAUAAUGCCCGAUAGAACAUUAUGCCUGGAAUGGUUUAUGUUCCAAAUGAUUUAUCGCCAUAGGAUGGGACUGCGGCCUAUCAGUUUGUUGGUGAGGUAAUGGCCCACCAAGACUAUUACAGGUACGGGCUCUGAGAGGAGUAGCCCGGAGAUGGGUACUGAGACACGGACCCAGGCCCUAUGGGGCGCAGCAGGCGAGAAAACUUUGCAAUGUGCGAAAGCACGACAAGGUUAAUCCGAGUGAUUUCUGCUAAAGAGAUCUUUUGUUAGUCCUAGAAACACUAACGAAUAAGGGGUGGGCAAGUUCUGGUGUCAGCCGCCGCGGUAAAACCAGCACCUCAAGUGGUCAGGAUGAUUAUUGGGCCUAAAGCAUCCGUAGCCGGCUCUGUAAGUUUUCGGUUAAAUCUGUACGCUCAACGUACAGGCUGCCGGGAAUACUGCAGAACUAGGGAGUGGGAGAGGUAGACGGUACUCGGUAGGAAGUGGUAAAAUGCUUUGAUCUAUCGAUGACCACCUGUGGCGAAGGCGGUCUACCAGAACACGUCCGACGGUGAGGGAUGAAAGCUGGGGGAGCAAACCGGAUUAGAUACCCGGGUAGUCCCAGCUGUAAACUAUGCAAACUCAGUGAUGCAUUGGCUUGUGGCCAAUGCAGUGCUGCAGGGAAGCCGUUAAGUUUGCCGCCUGGGAAGUACGUACGCAAGUAUGAAACUUAAAGGAAUUGGCGGGGGAGCACCACAAGGGGUGAAGCCUGCGGU
rnacentral:rRNA from 1 species